UGUUGCUGCAAAGGUCAAGUCUGCCUCUGACUGUCCCAGUUUCUUGGUGUGUAAGUCUAGAACAUUCACUGACUCAUUCCAGCAGACCCACUGAGCUGCACGGGUGUCCAGAGGCAUGGUCAGCGUUAGGGAGCCGAGGGCAACGCAGCCGACGUGUGGCCGGGCUCCACCUACAGUGUCCUGUCCAUCAUGCCUUCGGACUCGGAGAGCAGCAGCUCCCUCAGCAGUGUGGGUGAGUACCCCGCCGGGAGGUGGCCAGGCUGGUGGGGUCUGGGUGUGGGCUAGAGCCCCC
rnacentral:lncRNA from 1 species